CCCGCGUAAUUUAAGCAUAUUACUAAGCGGAGGAAAAGAAACUAACAAGGAUUCCCCAAGUAGCUGCGAGCGAACAGGGAAGAGCCCAGCACCGAAUCCUGCGUCUGGAAAGGCGUCUGGAAAUGUGGUGUUUGGGAGGAUCCGAUAAUCUCGCCGGAUCACGCCAGUCCAAGUCCAUCUUGAAAGCGGCCACAGCCCACAGAGGGUGCCAGGCCCGUAGGACGGCGGCUGCGAUCCGGCGAAAGGGUCUCUCCAGAGUUCAAGAGUACGUGAAACCGUUCAGGGGUAAACGAAUGAUAUCUGAAAAAUCGAAGCGAGAGAUUCAAAUUGUACGUCGCGCGUCCACGCGGUGACCACCGAUCAUCUUGGGUUCCCCCGCGCGCUGCAGCAAUGCACGCCGGUACGGACACACAGCAUGUACAUAGGUCGCCACUAGCGCCGGCAGCAGUCUACACUUCUCUGGUGGUAGUACGCCGCGACUCGUUGGGUGCGCGUCAAAGGCCCAUGCGGGAGCCGGAACCAAAUGCAAUGCCGUAUAGCGUGCACGCGGAGCCGACCGCGAGGUGACCCGACGAGCUUGCCCGACGGUGAAUAAGCGAUACGACAAAAGUCGAGCUCUAACGCUCGAUGGCUUUCACUAGCACGUCUUCGCGUCAAGCGGGGCUCCAUUCAGAGCCUAUUCGACCCGUCUUGAAACACGGACCAAGGAGUCUAACAUGUGCGCGAGUCAUUGGGACCGCACUAAACCUAAAGGCGUAACGAAAGUGAAGCGCGCCGGUCGGUCGCGCGCGUUCGCGCGCGCGCACCGCACCGGCCGCGAGGGAAGAUGUCACCCGUCCUCGGCGACGCGGAGACCGCAUCCCCGGGGCGUCUCGUUGUCAUUGCGACACAGCAGGCGCGCCCAGAGCGCACACGUUGGGACCCGAAAGAUGGUGAACUAUGCCUGGUGCUCGGAGUGCGUUAACGAAGCGGCGUCGCCACUCGUGGCGGCGUCGCACCCAACCAGUCUCAUCUGGUAAAGCGAAUGAUUAGAGGCCUUGGGGCCGAAACGACCUCAACCUAUUCUCAAACUUUAAAUGGGUGAGACAUUCGACUUGCUCGAAACGAUGAAGUCGAAUAGUCUUUGAAUGCGAACGGAUGAAUGAGUGCCAAGUGGGCCAAUUUUGGUAAGCAGAACUGGUGCUGUGGGAUGAACCAAACGUCGAGUUAAGGCGCCUAAAUCGAUGCUCAUGGGAUACCAUGAAAGGCGUUGGUUGCUUAAGACAGCAGGNNNNNNNNNNNNNNNNNNNNNNNNNNNNNNNNNNNNNNNNNNNNNNNNNNGGAAUCUGGUUCCUAUUCCGGAACCCGGCAGCGGAACCGAUCACGCGGGCCAAUGUCGUAGCGAUACGACAACUCGUCGGGGUGACCCAAAAGGACCCGGAGACGCCGUCGGAUGAUCGGGGCAGAGUUUUCUGUUCUGUAUGAGCGUUCGAGUUCCCUGGAAUCGCCUAGCGCGGAGAUAGGGUUUGGAACGCGAAGAGCACCGCACUUGCGGCGGUGUCCCGAUCUAUCCCUCGGACCUUGAAAAUCCGGGAGAGGGCCACGUGGAGGUGUCGCGCCGGAUCGUACCCAUAUCCGCAGCAGGUCUCCAAGGUGAGGAGCCUCUAGUCGGUAGAA
rnacentral:rRNA from 1 species